AGAACGAACGCUGGCGGCAUGCCUAAUACAUGCAAGUCGAACGAAGGCUUCGGCCUUAGUGGCGCACGGGUGCGUAACGCGUGGGAAUCUGCCCCUUGGUUCGGAAUAACAGUUGGAAACGACUGCUAAUACCGGAUGAUGACGAAAGUCCAAAGAUUUAUCGCCAAGGGAUGAGCCCGCGUAGGAUUAGCUAGUUGGUGAGGUAAAGGCUCACCAAGGCGACGAUCCUUAGCUGGUCUGAGAGGAUGAUCAGCCACACUGGGACUGAGACACGGCCCAGACUCCUACGGGAGGCAGCAGUAGGGAAUAUUGGACAAUGGGACGAAAGCCUGAUCCAGCAAUGCCGCGUGAGUGAUGAA
rnacentral:rRNA from 1 species